UCGAGUUGUCCAGGGGAAAGUCUUGCAUUGGAGUCUCCGAGAGUGUGUAUUACACCGCCUGUGGUGGACCGGUGUGUGGUGGUAUCUCGUGCGGUCUCGGAUUAGGCGGUGGUCUGAUUUGUAGUCUGGUAUGGCUAGGGGGAGAGGUAUGACUGAAGAGUCAACUGAGCCAGAGAUGUUAGCCCGAGUCUGUUGGGGGGUGGCUGGUUUGGGGGUUGCUGUCCGGGAAAGGUUUGUUGUGAGAGGCUUAAUCAGCGGCGCCCCGUGGGUGUGUCAUUUUCACUGUUCAAGGGGGCGAUAGGGCGGAUAAGGUG